CAGUAGCGCGGUAAUACGGAGGGUGCAAGCGUUAAUCGGAAUUACUGGGCGUAAAGCGCACGCAGGCGGUCUGACAAGUCAGAUGUGAAAUCCCCGGGCUUAACCUGGGAACUGCAUUUGAAACUGUCAGGCUGGAGUCUUGUAGAGGGGGGUGGAAUUCCAGGUGUAGCGGUGAAAUGCGUAGAGAUCUGGAGGAAUACCGGUGGCGAAGGCGGCCCCCUGGACAAAGACUGACGCUCAGGUGCGAAAGCGUGGGGAGCAAACAGGAUUAGAUACCCCGGUAGUCCCUGUCUCUUAUACA
rnacentral:rRNA from 1 species